rnacentral:pre_miRNA from 1 species
CAACUACUCCCUCUGUCCCAAAUUUCUUGUCUUAGAUUUGUCUAGAUACGGAUGUAUCUAAUACUAAAAUGUGACUUGAUACAUCUGUAUCUAGACAAAUCUAAGACAAGAAUUUUGGGACGAAGGGAGUACUCU